rnacentral:piRNA from 1 species
CAAAUGUCCAAAGUGAUCUAAAUUAUAGAC